rnacentral:rRNA from 1 species
CCUACGGGAGGCAGCAGUGGGGAAUCUUAGACAAUGGGGGAAACCCUGAUCUAGCCAUGCCGCGUGAUCGAUGAAGGCCUUAGGGUUGUAAAGAUCUUUCAGUUGGGAAGAUAAUGGCGGUACCAACAGAAGAAGCCCCGGCUAACUCCGUGCCAGCAGCCGCGGUAAUACGGAGGGGGCUAGCGUUAUUCGGAAUUACUGGGCGUAAAGCGCACGUAGGCGGACUGGAAAGUCAGAGGUGAAAGCCCAGGGCUCAACCCUGGAACUGCCUUUGAAACUCCCAGUCUUGAGGUCGAGAGAGGUGAGUGGAAUUCCGAGUGUAGAGGUGAAAUUCGUAGAUAUUCGGAGGAACACCAGUGGCGAAGGCGGCUCACUGGCUCGAUACUGACGCUGAGGUGCGAAAGCGUGGGAGCAAACAGGAUUAGAUACCCUGGUAGUCCACGCCGUAAACGAUGAAUGCCAGUCGUCGGGUAGCAUGCUAUUCGGUGACACACCUAACGGAUUAAGCAUUCCGCCUGGGGAGUACGGCCGCAGGUUAAAACUCAAAUGAAUUGACGG